CUACGGGCCGCUGCAGUGAGGAAUUUUGCGCAAUGGGGGAAACCCUGACGCAGCAACGCCGCGUGAGUGAUGAAGGCUUUCGAGUCGUAAAGCUCUGUCAAGUGGGAAGAACCUACUAAGUGCCAAUACCACUUAGUACUGACGGUACCACUGAAGGAAGCACCGGCUAACUCCGUGCCAGCAGCCGCGGUAAUACGGGGGGGUGCAAGCGUUACUCGGAAUUAUUGGGCGUAAAGGGCGCGCAGGCGGCCAGGUAAGUCAGAUGUGAAAGCCCGGGGCUCAACCCCGGAAGUGCAUUUGAAACUACUUGGCUUGAGUAUGGGAGAGGGAAGUGGAAUUCCUGGUGUAGAGGUGAAAUUCGUAGAUAUCAGGAGGAACACCGGUGGCGAAGGCGACUUCCUGGACCAAUACUGACGCUAAGGCGCGAAGGCGUGGGUAGCAAACAGGAUUAGAUACCCUGGUAGUC
rnacentral:rRNA from 1 species